GGGCAACUGCGCCCGCGAGUGGGACCGCGGCCUGGACCCCGGGCACGAGCCCGACGUCUCCCUUCAGGAGCGCUCCUCGCUCUGUCUCUCGGACUUCCUCCCUCCCUCGCCCUCCCCGGCCGCCCUCCUCGCUCCCUCCCUCCCCCUACCCCGCCCUGCCCCCUCCUCGCGCCGCCGCGGCGGGGAGGGCGCGCUCCGGCCGCUGUGCUCACUCCUCCCCCUCCCAACCUGGCGGCCGCCUCCCUGUCUUAUCUGGCUCCCCGCUCUCCGGGGUCUCCUCGCUCUUUUCAUUCCUCUCUCGGCCUCUUCCCCUUUCCCUCACCCACCCUCUUUCGAACUGAGGGAUCACAGACUCUCCCGUUUUGCUAGAGGGACGACCCCCACCCCCAGCAAAACUCGACCACCUCUGACUUCAAGAAAUCUUUCUGUGUGCCCCCUACAGCAGCCCCCGCUUCCCAUCCCAGGACCCUGCCGCCCCCAGCGGAGUGGACCCAGCCCCGCCCCUCCGCCCCCUUCCUCCUCCUGGCCCGCCGGGCUGAGUGGUGCUGCUGCGGGUGCGGCUGCUCGGAGCCUCCCUGGCCGCCCUCCCCAGGGCCGAUACUGACUCCAUCUGUCAACUUCGUUUAGACUUUGCCGCCCUCAGCCGCACGCCGGGGUGCCAGACGCCCAAAGGUCUCUGCCUGGGAGGUAUAUUCAUGAAGCAGGGAUGCAUUUCACACCAUCACAGUCUACAACAAAACUCAGAAUGUUUUCCAGAUCAAAAUCUACCUGACGGUGAGUCGCAUUGAGCCAGGGUGAUGAGAAGUUCACUCUGCAUCUUUCCCGGAACUCUCCUGGAGAUCCCAUCUAGCAACCUCUGUUCGUAUCUGAUUGACACCCCUGAGUUGCAGGAAAGGCUGGGAAAUGUGUUGCUGCCCUGAAAGAAACUGGGAUCCUGUAACUAAAAAAGAUAGGUAAACAUGGUGAUAGAGACAAAGAUGAGGACUCCAUGUCUGUCUUUUGGGUUGCUAGCUUUGAAGAGGAUCACAACACAAUAUGGAUUCGGGAGUGUAACCAGGAAUGUAAUUAGGAAUGCAAUGCGGAGGAAGGGCAAGGCCUGUCCCUUUCUUCUUCAGCUGCUGUGUGGUGCCAGGGUCCUGCCUGCCCAUCUGAGGACAUGCCUGCUCAUCACCCACGUGCAUCCUGUCACAGUGGGACUGCGUGUGUUCCCUGCUCAUUGUCACUUCCAUGGUUUUGCUGAUUCUAUGCGAUUCUUCCAGGCCACUCCAAGUUCCACCUCUUCCACGAAGCCCUCCUUGAUUGCUGGGCCCUGGUUGAACUUAUUAGUAACACCCAGGUUACUUCUACUUAAUUCUUGCCUCCAGCCAAAGUGGACUUAGAACCUCCUUGCAUGCCUGGUAAAGUCAAGGUGUUCAGCCAGGGCCUGGGUAUAAAGCGGAAGCAACACAGUGUCUGGUUUGAAGCUUAGGGCUUGGGUUCAGACGGUUGUGGGUUACAAUCCCUUCUACGCGUGUUGCCUGUGGAAACCCUUUGGUUCUCUGUGCCUGGAGCUCGCCUGUAAUGGGACAAAACCAUCUCACCUAGAUUGUUGUUCUGAGGAUUGAAUUAGGUGAUUCUGAAAGGUGUUUAUGAGUCUUCCCUGAUUGACAAUCCAUGAAAAGUGGGCGUUAUUGCUGAAGCUCACAGAAGAAAUAUGAAAUUUGAUUAUAUCCUGAUUCAUGGCAUUGGGUCACCACCUCAGCAGUUUUUAUGAAAGUAGCGUCUGACCUGGCAAAGGCUGUGUCAUCUUAUUAUCUCAGAAAGGCAAAUUUACGGGGUCAGAUGAUGGACGGCCAGGUUUCAGGCUUGCAGAUUUCUCAAUGGGGUGGAAGGAAGGAGAGAAAAAGAGAGACAGGAGAGAGUACACACUUAAUUCUACUUCUCCUAGGGUGAUGUUUCCUUCUUCCCCUUCCAGAGUUCUCAAAAAGGCAUUCUAGGAAGUCCUGUAAAAUACAUGCUCAUACAACAUCUCCUAAUUUCCACAAAUUGUUGAGAAUUUAAAAACUCAGUUGGGGGUUUGCUGUUCUAGCCUGAGACACCAGGGUCACGUUUCAGUGCUUGCAGUCUUGACAGUACCAGGCAUCUGGGAUGAAGUUGGGGAAAGAAGGUCUGGUGACCCUGCUGGCCUGCCUCUCUUGAAAGAUGCUUACUGGCUGCUGGCUCCAUCACUGGUGUGUCACAGGGCUUUAGGAUUUGGAAAAGCAGAGGAUGUAAAACAAGACGGAAUGGUCAGAAUUUAGAGAACCAUGUGCCAAAGUGCCAUCUUUAGGGUGCUCAUAACACGACCCUACGACAUUAGAGGUGCUGGAAUCAUGGAAGAGGAAUCCAGACUCUGUAAUCUUCUUCCCCCUGGAAAAUCUUUGCUGGAACUGGGGGAUUGGAAGCUGUCAACACAUGAGCCAUCUUCUGCUCUGUUCAAGAUGGUAGGGGCGUUCUCGACACGCCCCUCCCUCUGAUUCUGCCUCACUUUUAUUUUAGAAUUUUCCACUGCCUCUUCUGGAAUGUGCUUUUUCACCCCUCGAAAUCUGUAGAGAAGAAAUAAGCAGAAACUGAAAUGGCUUUCUGGUGUUAAAUGCUCUCAGCUUAGUGGAAAAUCGAGCGUUGGGCUCGAGGCUGGACUUUUGCGGAGAGCACUGCAAUAGUGCUGUGGCCUUGCCUUUCUUUCUCAUCACCCGGGUACAGUCCUGCAGUCCUCAGAGGAUGCCAGUCCCACACAGGGGGAUCCUCCUCCGCAGGAAAACCGAGGAACAAUGCAGGUUCGAUGUGUAAGAUGGCCAAGCACAUUCAAUCUUCGAGAUCUUUCCUCCCAAACCCUAAUGCUACCUCAAGAUGGGCUGCUGCCUGCUACCAUUUCAACAUCGAGUCCUUUAAGGUGCCACCUGAGAGAGAGACGGGAAGCGAGAGGCCAAGAAAAAUGAAAGGUAAGCACGAGACCAGUGGAAUGAGUGGGGAGAUCCGUCUGUCCGUCUGUCUGUCUGUCUGUCUGUCCGUCUGUCUGUCUGUCUGUCUGUUUGUUUGUUUGUUUGAAGUGUCUUCUGCUUGGCUGAGGUUAUCGCUCUUCAG
rnacentral:lncRNA from 10 species